AAGUCGUAACAAGGUUUCCGUAGGUGAACCUGCGGAAGGAUCAUUAAUGUAUUUUUUUUUUCCAUGUUGGGAAAUUGUCUGCUGUUGUGGGGAUAUUUUUGUCCCCGCGCUAGUCAACGUGAUCUUUAUUCUAGUCUGACUUUUAUAUUUAAUUUAAAAGACAACUUUUAGCAACGGAUCUCUUGGCUCUC
rnacentral:misc_RNA from 1 species